AACAGGGAUUGCCUCAGUAACGGCGAGUGAAGCGGCAAAAGCUCAAAUUUGAAAUCUUGGUUCCUUUGGAGCUACGAGUUGUAAUUUGAAGGUUGAGUUGUUUGGUACCACAUAUCUUUAAGUCCAUUGGAACAUGGCGCCUAAGAGGGUGAGAGCCCCGUGAGAGAUGUGUUGGUGUCAUUAUACUUCUCUUCCGAAGAGUCGAGUUGUUUGGGAAUGCAGCUCUAAGUGGGUGGUAAAUUCCAUCUAAAGCUAAAUAUUGGCGAGAGACCGAUAGCGAACAAGUACAGUGAUGGAAAGAUGAAAAGCACUUUGAAAAGAGAGUGAAAAAGUACGUGAAAUUGUUGGAAGGGAAGGGCUUGCAAGCAGACACGAUCCUCUCGGGGAUUGGGCCAGCAUCGGUUGGCAAGGGGUGGAAAAGGCAGUUGGAAAUGUGGCUCGGCGCCUUGUGUGCUGAGUGUUUAUAGACCUUCUGAGAUACACCCACUUCCGACCGAGGCCUGCGAUUAUUCUAGGAUGCUGGCGUA
rnacentral:rRNA from 1 species